UGAUGUAAGCAAUGCGGAAUUUCUGCAAUUUGACACAUCUAAGGUCCCUGUCAUAGUUACAUUAACAAAGGUAGGUAAGCACUAUAUUGUGGAUGCCACUUCAGAAGAGGAAUCACAAAUGAACUCGGCUGUUUCGAUUUCCGUCAAUAGGCAAGGGCGCAUCUGCGGGUUGACCAAGCGGGGCGGUGCUGAUAAACACGUUGGAUUCCUAGAUAGCUGCUGCUGAAGCUGGUGAAGAUGAAUCAUGACACACUGAGAAUCUUAUGAUAUAUCUAAGUAGGUGGUUCGAGCAGGUCCUAGUUAUAUGAAAAUUGUAGUUCCGAUACCUACACAGCUGGUGAAAACGUUUGAUUGGUAGUACGCAUAUUUGGCACCGUUUAACAAAGAUUAGUAUUAUUAAGCUGUUAAAGAGUUAUUAUUUUGAUCUUAGGUGCAUUUCAAUAUUACUGUUUGGCUUCGACCGAACCUCUGUUUUUCAGAGGAAUUCGCAACAGAUGGGAGGAAAAAGAGAGAA